AUUGAACGCUGGCGGCGUGCUUUACACAUGCAAGUCGAACGGUAACAGGGUGCUUGCACCGCUGACGAGUGGCGAACGGGUGAGUAAUGCGUCGGAACGUGCCGAGUAGUGGGGGAUAACGCAGUGAAAGUUGUGCUAAUACCGCAUACGUACUGAGGUAGAAAGUGGGGGACCUUCGGGCCUCACGCUAUUCGAGCGGCCGACGUCUGAUUAGCUAAUAGGUGAGGUAAAGGCUCACCUAGGCGACGAUCAGUAGCGGGUCUGAGAGGAUGAUCCGCCACACUGGGACUGAGACACGGCCCAGACUCCUACGGGAGGCAGCAGUGGGGAAUUUUGGACAAUGGGCGAAAGCCUGAUCCAGCCAUGCCGCGUGUCUGAAGAAGGCCUUCGGGUUGUAAAGGACUUUUGUCAGGGAGGAAAUCCCUAGUGCUAAUAACACUGGGGGAUGACAGUACCUGAAGAAUAAGCACCGGCUAACUACGUGCCAGCCGCCGCGGUAA
rnacentral:rRNA from 1 species